rnacentral:rRNA from 1 species
CCUACGGGGGGCAGCAGUGGGGAAUAUUGGACAAUGGGCGCAAGCCUGAUCCAGCAAUACCGCGUGUGUGAAGAAGGCCCUAGGGUUGUAAAGCACUUUCAAUUGGGAGGAAAACCUGUCGGUCAAUACCCGGCAGCUUGACAUUACCUUUAGAAGAAGCACCGGCUAACUCCGGGCCAGCAGCCGCGGUAAUACGGCGCGGGCAAGCGUUAAUCGGAACUACCGGGCGUGGUUCGUUAAGUCGGAUGUGAAAGCCCCGGGCUUAACCUGGGAACUGCAUUUGAAACUGGCGGACUUGAGUUGAGUAGAGGGGAGUGGAAUUUCAGGUGUAGCGGUGAAAUGCGUAGAUAUCUGAAGGAACACCAGUGGCGAAGGCGACUCCCUGGACUCAAACUGACGCUGAGGUACGAAAGCGUGGGUAGCAAACAGGAUUAGAUACCCCAGUAGUC